AAGAGAGUCCCAGCUAAAAACCACCGACAAGGUCUAUCUGCGUAUGCGGGAGAGAGAAAAACACACAUUUGCUUUCCACAACACGCACAAAACUCAUCACGAAGAGAAAAAGAUAAUCAACUAAACGGAGAACCAAACCAAAAGGAUAAGAAACGAUGUCAAGCAAUGCAAGACCAAGGUAAAUGAAGAUCAUCAAAGGCAGGGAAUAAAAUACAACCUAAAAGUAUCCUUAACAUGGGGGACACCAAAGUAUCCCUAUACUCGAUAUAUUUGCAUUUUCACACUUCA